GAUGAAGAACGCAGCGAAAUGCGAUAAGUAAUGUGAAUUGCAGAAUUCAGUGAAUCAUCGAAUCUUUGAACGCACAUUGCGCCCGCCAGUAUUCUGGCGGGCAUGCCUGUUCGAGCGUCAUUACAACCCUCAGGCCCCCGGGCCUGGCGUUGGGGAUCGGCGGAAGCCCCCUGCGGGCACAACGCCGUCCCCCAAAUACAGUGGCGGUCCCGCCGCAGCUUCCAUUGCGUAGUAGCUAACACCUCGCAACUGGAGAGCGGCGCGGCCACGCCGUAAAACACCCAACUUCUGAAUGUUGACCUCGAAUCAGGUAGGAAUACCCGCUGAACUUAAGCAUAUAAAUAAGCGGAGGA
rnacentral:misc_RNA from 1 species